rnacentral:rRNA from 1 species
GACGAACGCUGGCGGCGUGCCUAAUACAUGCAAGUUGAGCGCUGAAGGUUGGUACUUGUACCAACUGGAUGAGCAGCGAACGGGUGAGUAACGCGUGGGGAAUCUGCCUUUGAGCGGGGGACAACAUUUGGAAACGAAUGCUAAUACCGCAUAAAAACUUUAAACACAAGUUUUAAGUUUGAAAGAUGCAAUUGCAUCACUCAAAGAUGAUCCCGCGUUGUAUUAGCUAGUUGGUGAGGUAAAGGCUCACCAAGGCGAUGAUACAUAGCCGACCUGAGAGGGUGAUCGGCCACAUUGGGACUGAGACACGGCCCAAACUCCUACGGGAGGCAGCAGUAGGGAAUCUUCGGCAAUGGACGAAAGUCUGACCGAGCAACGCCGCGUGUGUGAAGAAGGUUUUCGGAUCGUAAAACUCUAUUGGUAGAGAAGAACGUUGGUGAGAGUGGAAAGCUCAUCAAGUGACGGUAACUACCCAGAAAGGGACGGCUAACUACGUG